rnacentral:lncRNA from 1 species
AGGUGGUUGAGUAUCAGAGUGUUCCAUCUCAUUUCCCUUUGGGGUUGCUGUAGGUGAUCUGGAAGUCUGGUUCUGAGGAGGUGGGCCUGAGAUGGAGUGCAUGAAAAGGGAAUUUCUGGGAUGCUGAAGAUAUUCUGUUCAUUCAUCUGAGUGAGUUACACAGGUUUCAUUUUCUCAGAAGAGAAUUCCAUCCUUCUCCUUGGGAUGCCGCAAUUGGAGGGUGUGGACCCCGAAAUCCUGGAGGCCUUUGGUAGCUCUUGCACCUUAGGGUUCUGCACCGCGAGCGCGCGAAGCCCACACCUCCACCCUGCCUCCUGAAGCGGAGCGGCUGCUCUCUAUCCUGGCUCUGCAGACCUCCAUUCAAUAGGAAGCCUUGAGGCCAGCAGCUGCCCGCUAAGGCAGGUGACUACCAAGUGACAUUUGACGUUAUUCAUCCAUUUCUCUCUCUACACAGAGAUGGGGGAAGGGAGGCGGUGGAGCGGAGGGCGUGGAGAAGACUCAGGGCGGACGGGAAGCAGCAGUGCAGUGCGCCCCGGAAUCGCACCUCUCUGCAGCCCAGCGGCUGCCCAGGCUGCCCCCACCAGCCAGGCGCCUCGUCGCAAUUCCCCAGCUGUCUGCUCGCUACCUGCCUGGCUCGCCCGCUCAGAGCUGCUCCCCUGGGCCUCUCUCCAGCUCGGCAGUGGGCUGCGUCAGCAUCACGCCACACCGUCUCCGUUGGCCCGGCGAUCAACGCCUGACGGCCGGCCCUCUCUCCCCUCUCCGCUGGGGCCAAUGGGAGUCCGGGGAAGGUUUUGGUUACAAAUGAAAAUAAAAUAAAUAAGUCAUACUCCCGCACUCAGGAG